CCUACGGGAGGCUGCAGUGAGGAAUAUUGGUCAAUGGGCGCGAGCCUGAACCAGCCAAGUCGCGUGAGGGAAGACGGCCCUACGGGUUGUAAACCUCUUUUGUCGGGGAGCAACGGGCGCCACGUGUGGCUCCACUGAGAGUACCCGGAGAAAAAGCAUCGGCUAACGCCGUGCCAGCAGCCGCGGUAAUACGGGGGAUGCGAGCGUUAUCCGGAUUUAUUGGGUUUAAAGGGUGCGUAGGCGGAGCGUUAAGUCAGUGGUCAAAUUGAGGGGCUCAACCCCUUCCCGCCAUUGAAACUGGCGCUAUUGAGUGGAAGAGAAGUAUGCGGAAUGCGUGGUGUAGCGGUGAAAUGCAUAGAUAUCACGCAGAACCCCGAUUGCGAAGGCAGCAUGCCGGCUUCCUACUGACGCUGAAGCACGAAAGCGUGGGGAUCGAACAGGAUUAGAUACCCGAGUAGUC
rnacentral:rRNA from 1 species